GGGUCGGUGUCCGAGAGGCCAAAGGAGGCGGUCUGUAAAACCGCUGCGGAAGCUACGGUGGUUCGAACCCACCCCGGCCCA
rnacentral:tRNA from 1 species